GCCUCCCUUCCGAGGAGGCGGUGCUGGGGCGGGCGCAGGACUGCAGGCUGGGGCUCCGCUCCCCGGCGGGAGCCCGCGCGUGGUUCCCAGCGAAGUCCCCGCGCGGCUGGGCCCAGCGUGAGUAUUCUCCGCCCGCUGUCCUCCCCCUGGAGGCGGCAGCGCCCGUUUAUUUGAGCCGUGUGAAGAUGUGCCUGCUUCGCCUUCCAUCAUGACUGAAGUUUCCUGAGGCCUCCCCAGCUAUGCUCCCUAUACAGCCUGCAGAACGGUCGGCUGCCUCCAAUCCUGAGGUCAUCACUCAUCAAGAGGGGAUAAUCCCAGGGACAGCAGGAUCUGCUUCGUUACUUGGAUUUAGGAGCCAGAAACCCAUCAGGCAACUAAACAGUAACAAUGACCCGCCAUUAAACACACUGAGAGAAGAGCAUGAUGAAGAGUUUGUACAAGAAGAAGCCAGGAGCACUUGCUGACAAUGCUUACAGAGACGCAGGCUUCUAUGAGCUCUGCCUGUUGAACUGCAGUAAAAAUAGAUCUCCUUCCCCAGAGAGGCUUGGAUGUGGGCACAAUAUCAGUUCAGACGAUGGUCAAUGCAUGUACUUAAUAGAGUGAAAAGACUUUGGACUGUGAAGUCAGAUUACCUGGGUCUGAAUUGUUAUUCUUCUACUUCUUUGUAGUAUGCUUUCACCACAUUAAAAAUUGUCUGAGCCUCAAU
rnacentral:lncRNA from 1 species